rnacentral:pre_miRNA from 1 species
UUGGUUUAAAUUAUUGUGGACCUACACUUUGAAAAUUGAACCCACACAAAGGGGUGGGACAUACCUUUAUUUCAUCUAA